UACGUAGGGGGCAAGCGUUGUCCGGAUUUACUGGGCGUAGAGAGCGUGUAGGCGGCCAAACAGGUCCGUUGUGAAAACUGGAGGCUCAACCUCCAGACGUCGACGGAAACCGUGUGGCUAGAGUCCGGAAGAGGAGAGUGGAAUUCCUGGUGUAGCGGUGAAAUGCGCAGAUAUCAGGAAGAACACCAAUGGCGAAGGCAGCUCUCUGGGACGGUACUGACGCUGAGACGCGAAAGCGUGGGGAGCGAACAGG
rnacentral:rRNA from 1 species